UGACAAUGAUGCAAACUUUUUUCACUUAAAACUACCAUGAGGAGUAAAACUGAGCUUUUUAACACUGAGUCAC
rnacentral:snoRNA from 1 species